rnacentral:lncRNA from 1 species
UCAUAUGUUCACAAUCGAUUAUUUUGUGACUUUGAAAAAAUCUUAUGGACACUGUCUCUUCACAAUCGAUUGUCAUUAACUUCACAAUCGAUUAUUUUGAUCGUUGAAAAACUUUGAUGGGCACUGCCUCAUCACAAUCGAUUGUCAUAAGGUUCACAAUCGAUUGUCAUGCAGGUUUGAAAAACCUGAUGCUCACUGCCU